UGGGGAAUAUUGGACAAUGGGCGCAAGCCUGAUCCAGCCAUGCCGCGUGUGUGAAGAAGGCCUUUUGGUUGUAAAGCACUUUAAGCGAGGAGGAGGCUACUUGGAUUAAUACUCUAAGAUAGUGGACGUUACUCGCAGAAUAAGCACCGGCUAACUCUGUGCCAGCAGCCGCGGUAAUACAGAGGGUGCGAGCGUUAAUCGGAUUUACUGGGCGUAAAGCGUGCGUAGGCGGCUUCUUAAGUCGGAUGUGAAAUCCCUGAGCUUAACUUAGGAAUUGCAUUCGAUACUGGGAAGCUAGAGUAUGGUAGAGGAUGGUAGAAUUCCAGGUGUAGCGGUGAAAUGCGUAGAGAUCUGGAGGAAUACCGAUGGCGAAGGCAGCCAUCUGGCCUAAUACUGACGCUGAGGUACGAAAGCAUGGGGAGCAAACAGG
rnacentral:rRNA from 1 species